AGCAGCCGCGGUAAUUCCAGCUCCAAUAGCGUAUAUUAAAGUUGUUGCAGUUAAAAAGCUCGUAGUUGAACCUCGGGGUCUACCCAUUGGUCAGGCUUAAUUGUCUGCACUGGUGAGAUGGAUCUCUACCUUCUGAGGAACUUUCAUGCCAUUUAUUUGGUGUGAUGGGAAAUCAGGACUGUUACUUUGAAAAAAU
rnacentral:rRNA from 1 species